rnacentral:rRNA from 1 species
AUUGAACGCUGGCGGCAGGCCUAACACAUGCAAGUCGAACGAGUGGCGGACGGGUGAGUAAUGCCUGGGAAACUGCCUGAUGGAGGGGGAUAACUACUGGAAACGGUAGCUAAUACCGCAUACCAUCAGAUGUGCCCAGAUGGGAUUAGCUAGUUGGUGGGGUAACGGCUCACCAAGGCGACGAUCCCUAGCUGGUCUGAGAGGAUGACCGGCACCACUGGAACGGAGAAACGGUCCAGACUCCUACGGAAGGCAGAAGGGGGGAAUAGUGGCAAAGGGGCGCAAGCCUGAUGCAGCCAUGCGGCGUGUAUGAAGAAGGCCUUCGGGUUGUAAAGUACUUUCAGCGGGGAGGCGUUACCCGCAGAAGAAGCACCGGCUAACUACGUGCCAGCAGCCGCGGUAAUUC